rnacentral:misc_RNA from 1 species
GAUGAAGAACGCAGCGAAAUGCGAAAAGUAGUGUGAAUUGCAGAAUUCAGUGAAUCAUCGAAUCUUUGAACGCACAUUGCGCCCCUUGGUAUUCCAUGGGGCAUGCCUGUUCGAGCGUCAUUUGUACCCUCAAGCUCAGCUUGGUGUUGGGUGUCUGUCCCCGCCUCACCGCGGGGACUCGCCUCAAAAUCAUUGGCGGCCGGUACGUUGGCUUCGAGCGCAGCAGAAACGCGAACUCGAGGCCCGGCGGAUCGGCGACCAGAAGUCACUUCUUCACAGUUUGACCUCGGAUCAGGUAGGGAUACCCGCUGAACUUAAGCAUAUCAAUAAGCGGAGGA